UACGAAGGUGGCAAGCGUUGUUCGGAUUUACUGGGCGUACAGGGAGCGUAGGCGGUUGGAUAAGCCCUCCGUGAAAUCUCCAGGCUUAACCUGGAAAGUGCAGAGGGGACUGUUCAGCUAGAGGAUGGGAGAGGAGCGCGGAAUUCCCGGUGUAGCGGUGAAAUGCGUAGAGAUCGGGAGGAAGGCCGGUGGCGAAGGCGGCACUCUGGAACAUUUCUGACGCUGAGGCUCGAAAGCGUGGGGAGCAAACAGG
rnacentral:rRNA from 1 species